rnacentral:rRNA from 1 species
CCUACGGGAGGCUGCAGUGGGGAAUAUUGCACAAUGGGGGGAACCCUGAUGCAGCGACGCCGCGUGAGUGAAGGAGUAUUUCGGUAUGUAAAGCUCUAUCAGCAGGGAAGAACAAUGACGGUACCUGACUAAAAGGCCCCGGCUAAUUACGUGCCAGCAGCCGCGGUAAUACGUAGGGUGCAAGCGUUAUCCGGAUUUACUGGGUGUAAAGGGAGCGCAGGCGGGGCGGUAGGCCUGGUGUGAAAGUCCGCGGCCCAACCGCGGGACUGCAUUGGAAACUGGGUAGCUGGAGUGCAGGAGGGGUAGGAGGAAUUCCUAGUGUAGCGGUGAAAUGCGUAGAUAUUAGGAGGAACACCAGUGGCGAAGGCGGCCUACUGGACGGUGACUGACGCUGAGGCUCGAAAGCGUGGGGAGCAAACAGGAUUAGAUACCCGGGUAGUC